ensembl:misc_RNA Metazoa_SRP Metazoan signal recognition particle RNA
GCCAGGCAUGGUGGUGCAUGCCUGUAAUCCCAGCUACUCCGGAGGCUGAGACAGGAGAAUCGCUUGAAUCCGGGAGGUGGAGGUUGCAGUGAGCCAAGAUCAUGCCACUGCAAUCCAGCCUGGGCAACAGAGUGAGACUCGGUCUCAA